CAUGAGCUACAGGCAAAAUGUCGCCGUGUGAUGGCUUAUAUCUGUAAAAAAAUAUAUAUCAAAAUUCAUUAAUAUACGGCGGAGUUAUUGCUGAGACAGGAAUUGUGGGACGAACAUCGGAAACUCGUACAGACGGACAGUACCACAGUGGAUAGAUAGGGGCAUUCAAACAAAACACCAGCUCCGUAAACAUCAGAAUAAGCACUCUGUGACUUUCGGAUUGGCUGGUGAGCACCGUAGGAAUUUCGCAGACGAACAUUGGCAGGGAGCAGACUACAAAAGACGCCAGCAUCACCAAACUGUUCCGAGUUGCACUAUUAAACCCCAUCCGGUCCCUCCUUAUGAAAUGAUUUCGGAGAGCAGAAUUGUUUUUCAAGUUUUGAAACCUUUGAAGAUCGGCGCUGGCGGAGAUGUCGGUAAAGUCCGGGCAUUUCGAUUUUACGGACGUAUUACUCGCAUUGCUUCGCGUGAGAUAAACGUUGCGUUUCUGAACAAUUUGUUUGCGUAGUUGAGAUGCUAAGAUUGGGUUUUCCAAGGCCAGUAUAUCUUCGAAUGACAACAUGUUUAUACUGUCAUUCCUCGUGUAGUGGACAAUAAACUCGUCGGUGCCGGAAUUCCUCGAGAUGGUAUACACCACCCGCUCUCGAUGGGAUGAAUGUACCAUUUUAGAUCCAUCAUCCUGAGGCGAACAAUUACUUCUCUCUCCUUCCGAGGGCAAACUUGCAGAUCGCGUAGAAAGCGGGAACACUCUAUUUCUACCAAAGGUCAACCUGCGUCUUCACGACUGCAUCUAUGUGCGGACAUGCCGUGUGACCUCUCAGGGGAUGUUGUUUCUGGACCACAUCUGCAAUAUCCAUAUGCUAAAGCCACCCCCUCCAAGCCAUGGUCUCCAUCGCUGCCCCAUGGCGACCCCGUCGGUCGUUUAGUGCUGCAACCUCCACUGCGCUGCUUACCCCAACCCUCUUCAUACGCUAUAGUGAAAUACAUGUGUAUACAUGUACGUUAUGUUACCAUUUGAUUAGAAAGCAGUU